rnacentral:misc_RNA from 1 species
GAAAUGCGAUAAGUAGUGUGAAUUGCAGAAUUCAGUGAAUCAUCGAAUCUUUGAACGCACAUUGCGCCCCUUGGUAUUCCAUGGGGCAUUCCUGUUCGAGCGUCAUUUGUACCCUCAAGCUCUGCUUGGUGUUGGGUGUUUGUCCCCGUCUCCGCGCGUGGACUCGCCCCAAAGUGAUUGGCAGCCGGCGUACUGGUCCCGGAGCGCAGCACAUGUCGCGCAAACGAGUGCCUUGGUACGGCGGCGUCCAUAAGCCCCUCUCUCACGCUCUUGACCUCGGAUCAGGUAGGGAUACCCGCUGAACUUAAGC